CCUACGGGUGGCAGCAGUGGGGAAUAUUGGACAAUGGGGGCAACCCUGAUCCAGCCAUGCCGCGUGUGUGAAGAAGGCCCUCGGGUUGUAAAGCACUUUCAGUGAGGAAGAACGCCUGGUGGUUAAUACCCAUCAGGAAAGACAUCACUCACAGAAGAAGCACCGGCUAACUCCGUGCCAGCAGCCGCGGUAAUACGGAGGGUGCGAGCGUUAAUCGGAAUUACUGGGCGUAAAGCGCGCGUAGGUGGCUUGAUAAGCCGGUUGUGAAAGCCCCGGGCUCAACCUGGGAACGGCAUCCGGAACUGUCAAGCUAGAGUGCAGGAGAGGAAGGUAGAAUUGCCGGUGUAGCGGUGAAAUGCGUAGAGAUCGGGAGGAAUACCAGUGGCGAAGGAGGCCUUCUGGACUGACACUGACACUGAGGUGCGAAAGCGUGGGUAGCAAACAGGAUUAGAUAACCUGGGAGUC
rnacentral:rRNA from 1 species